GUGCUCGCCUCGGCAGCACAGAUACUAAAAUUGGAAUGAAACAGAGAAGAUUAGCAUGGCCCCUGUGCAAGGAUGACACGCAAAUUCAUGAAGUGUUAAAAAAAAAG
rnacentral:snRNA from 1 species